rnacentral:rRNA from 1 species
UACAGAGGGUGCGAGCGUUUGUUCGGAAUUAUUGGGCGUAAAGCGCAUGUAGGCGGCCUGUUAAGUCACGUGUGAAAGCCCCAGGCUCAACCUGGGAAGUGCCGCGUGAAACUGGCGGGCUUGAAUCCUGGAGAGGGUGGCGGAAUUCCCGGUGUAGAGGUGAAAUUCGUAGAUAUCGGGGAGGAACAUCUGUGGCGAAGGCGACUGCCUGGACCAGCACUGACACUGAGGCACGAAAGCGUGGGGGAGCAAACAGGG